GCUGGGUGUGGUGGCACACGCCUGUAAUCCCAGCUACUUGGGAGGCUGAGUCAGGAGAAUUGUUUGAACCCAGGAGUCAGAGGUUGCAGUGAACCAAGAUCGUGCCACUGCACUCCAGCCUGGGCAACAGAACAAGACUCUGUCUCAA
ensembl:misc_RNA Metazoa_SRP Metazoan signal recognition particle RNA